GCGUCAGUCGCAAGAUGAAGCGUUGAAUUGAAGCCCGAGUAAACGGCGGCCGUAACUAUAACGGUCCUAAGGUAGCGAAAUUCCUUGUCGGUUAGAUACCGACCUGCAUGAAUGGCGUAACGAGAUGGGAGCUGUCUAAACCAGAGAUUCAGUGAAAUUGUAGUGGAGGUGAAAAUUCCUCCUACCCGCGGCAAGACGGAAAGACCCCGUGGACCUUUACUACAACUUAGCACUG
rnacentral:rRNA from 1 species